rnacentral:lncRNA from 1 species
ACCUACCGUCGAACAACGUGCGAUUUCGGACGAUCGGUUCAUCAGAUUUACGAAUGGAUCAUGCUAGCACUUCCGGCACUGCCAGACCUUCAAACCUGCGAUUUUGUUUCGCCUGAAUCGAUUCCCAAUCGCGACAAAAGCCAGCUCUCUCUAGUUCCACAUAUAAAAUACCUAUAUAUAUAUAUAAUUCGAAUUAGAAAUCAAACUUCAAAUUCAAAUUAUAAGGUACGUAUUACAUCAUCCCCUCCUUACAAGAAGUUUCGUCCUCGAAACUUAAUCACUUAGCUCCCCUAAACAACUGAGGAUACCGCUCCCACAUAGCCGUCUCAAGCUCCCAUGUAGCCUCACGCUUCUCGUGGUUUUCCUACUGAACCUUCACAUACGGAAUACUCCGAUUCCGCAGCUGCUUCACCUCACGUACUAAAAUCCGCAACAGAGCCUCAUCAAAGCUGAGGUCCUCCCUUAGCUGAACUGUCGUCGAACU